AUGCUGAUUUUUUUACUCCUUCCUCUCUUUUUUUUUUUCUUUUUUUUCUGCAUCUCCUCAAGUCAAGCCAGAGCUGUGGGAACCRCACUGAGCGAGUGCGACCCGAGCAGGGAGGGCAGCCAAAAGGCCCUGCCAAAGCUCCAGCCCCCAGCCUGGAGAGGGGAGCGCUGGGCUUCCCCCGUCCCACCCCGUGGGUACGCAGUCCCCAGGUGCAGCUCUCCUCCUGCGGCCCGGGAUUUCCGAGGGGCGGCUGAGCCCGCCGUUCCCAGGCGGAGAUCAGCCCCGGGCGGGAAUGUUGCAACUGCAACUGGCAUCCAUGAAUCACCUCCCCGGCGCCUUCCCCAGCCGCCCUCCUGCGAAAUGGCAGCUGCCGAGCAAGGUGCUCCCCGGCCUGGGACCACAACUGCGGCCCGGCGAGUGCCGGCGCUGCCUCCCGGGCUUGCUGCCCCGUGGCAGAGCUCGCCUGCAGCCGGCCCUGGAGUUUCUUGCCCCCGGGCGAGCCAGACCCCGGGCAGCUCUGCUGCAGUGGAGCUUGCCGGCUUGCAAGGCUGCAGCUCACCGUGCCCCCUCCUCCCGCAUCCUCCUCUCCCCUCGAGCAGGUGCUGGUUUUCCCUUUCCYUCCAACCUCGCCCACCCCCGGGUUUCUCAUUAACCCCAGCCUGCGCUGCAGGGAAGGGUAAACACGGCAGGGAGGACGGAGCGCCGCGUAGCCGGGCAACCGGCACCAGGCUCGCCCCCAUCCCUGCUCCGUGGGGACCAGCAGCCCCUUCCGCAUCCUGCAUCCUUUCCCGGGAUUUCCCCGGGAUUUCCCCAGCAGCGAGACGAGGCCAGAGGCCAGAGCCCCUCUUCCUCCGGCAGGUGCCGGAGAGGGGGCCCCCGGGUCCCGGCUGCUCGCUGCCGCUCCGGCAGCUGCAUCCCUCCGGCGGCCCCGGGGCACCCGCGUGCCCAGCUCUCCCGGCCUGGCUGCUUUCCGCACAGCCGGGUUCGCACCGCAGUCGGCCGCGUGCGCCGGCAGCUCCUCACUUCCCUCCUCGCCGUGCUGGUGCUCGUGCCCCAUACCUGCCCCUUUCCUUUUAUAYGUGUAGAGAGCGAUGUAUUUAA
rnacentral:lncRNA from 1 species